UGCAAGAGGAAAAUGCUUCUUUCUUUCAGGUUCGGCUUCGCGACACUCCAAGAGGACGUGGAGGACGGUCAGCCUCUCACCACAUCGACCACAGGUAUCUGAUGUCCACACAUUUCCAAGCAAGGAUCCGGGACCAGGCCUCUCUUCCUUGUGAACAGCACACAAGAACUCUUUUGAGGAUUGAUUUUAAAACCAUUUUUCUCUGCCCACCCUGACACCUUGUUCAAACCAUGCUGUACCUGUCUCUCGCAUACUGCGAGGUUACAGGAUUUGAAGCCUAUUUGUAUGUCAUCCACAUAGACGGAAUACAAAAUGGCCGGGGGUAAGGAAGCACGAAGCAUUGUCAUCUUGACAAUAAAAAGUGUGCAACUGA
rnacentral:lncRNA from 1 species